rnacentral:rRNA from 1 species
UACGGGGGGGGCAAGCGUUGUUCGGAAUUACUGGGCGUAAAGGGCGCGUAGGCGGCCUUCUAAGUCAGACGUGGAAUCCCCGGCUUAACCUGGGAACUGCGUCUGAUACUGGGAGGCUUGAGUAUGGGAGAGGGAUGUAGAAUUCCAGGUGUAGCGGUGAAAUGCGUAGAUAUCUGGAGGAAUACCGGUGGCGAAGGCGGCAUCCUGGACCAUAACUGACGCUGAGGCGGCGAAAGCUGAGGGGAGCAAACGGG